rnacentral:rRNA from 1 species
CAGGCCUAACACAUGCAAGUCGAGCGGACCAUUCCUUCGGGGAUGGUUAGCGGCGGACGGGUGAGUAACACGUAGGCAACCUGCCUGUAAGAUCGGGAUAACUACCGGAAACGGUAGCUAAGACCGGAUAGCUGGUUUCUCCGCAUGGGGGAAUCAUGAAACACGGGGCAACCUGUGGCUUACGGAUGGGCCUGCGGCGCAUUAGCUAGUUGGUGGGGUAAUGGCCCACCAAGGCGACGAUGCGUAGCCGACCUGAGAGGGUGAUCGGCCACACUGGGACUGAGACACGGCCCAGACUCCUACGGGAGGCAGCAGUAGGGAAUCUUCCGCAAUGGGCGCAAGCCUGACGGAGCAACGCCGCGUGAGUGAUGAAGGUUUUCGGAUCGUAAAGCUCUGUUGCUAAGGAAGAACGCCUCGGAGAGUAACUGCUCUGAGGGUGACGGUACUUGAGAAGAAAGCCCCGGCUAACUACGUGCCAGCAGCCGCGGUAAUACGUAGGGGGCAAGCGUUGUCCGGAAUUAUUGGGCGUAAAGCGCGCGCAGGCGGUCUUUUAAGUUUGGUGUUUAAGCCCGGGGCUCAACCCCGGUUCGCACUGAAAACUGGGAGACUUGAGUGCAGGAGAGGAAAGCGGAAUUCCACGUGUAGCGGUGAGAUGCGUAGAGAUGUGGAGGAACACCAGUGGCGAAGGCGGCUUUCUGGACUGUAACUGACGCUGAGGCGCGAAAGCGUGGGGAGCAAACAGGAUUAGAU